UACAGAGGGGGCAAGCGUUGUUCGGAAUUACUGGGCGUAAAGGGCGCGUAGGCGGCCUGUUAAGUCGAACGUGAAAUCCCCGGGCUCAACCCGGGAACUGCGUCCGAUACUGGCAGGCUUGAAUCCGGGAGAGGGAUGCGGAAUCCAGGUGUAGCGGUGAAAUGCGUAGAUAUCUGGAGGAACACCGGUGGCGAAGGCGGCAUCCUGGACCGGCAUUGACGCUGAGGCGCGAAAGCCAGGGGAGCAAACGGG
rnacentral:rRNA from 1 species